GUACUUUGUUCUCUUGGCCCAUUCUCCUGGGUUCCGGGGCCCUUCUCGGGGUCCUUCUCGGGGUCCAGGGCACCAAGAGGAGGGGCUGUGAGCUCCGCCCCUGGGGAAGGUGUAUGGGGGAAGACCUGUCUGCCUUCACCUAGGCCAUGUCUUGAUGCUGCCCAAGAAGCCACAUCUUGUGCACAUCUGGUGCAGGGGAUCCUUGCACCAGGCUGGGCAUGAGCCAAGGUUCUCUUCCACGAGCGGAUCCUUUUCCAAGUGGGAACGCCUGGAGAGCCAGGGACUUGAAUCUUUUGGGAGGUCCCCAGGCCCACCCAGUUGCCCCUGGCCACACAGCAAGAAGUGAGUGGUGGCUGAGGGAGUGAAGUCUUAAUCCUGCCUCCUGGCAGAUCAAUUGGAUCCUCAUAGGAGCAUGAGCCCUACUGUGAACUGCACAUAUGAGGGAUCUAAGGGUCUGGCCAAGUUGCCCGGAUUGAGCUGGAACUUGCUGCAGGUGUGCGCUGCCAUGUCUGGUCACUCUAACUUCUUCUGGAAACUUCUGUAGUGGAUCCUGUGUGCACCACCCAGACUACCACCUCAGGACGGGACUCUCGUUCCUCUGCUCAGAGAACGGAAAUUGACACUCACGGAUGAAUCUCACUGGGAAAAUGUCCUGGCUGAAAGGAGCUUCCUGGGGCCUUCCCACUGGAGAAGGGGAGGAGGGUAACAGAGGCCUCCACACCUUUCUCAAUACAGAGCAAAUUUGAAGGGUCAUCUCCUCUCCAGGGCUCUGUGUGGGGUUGGGUGAGACAUACAUUGAUUGAUUGAUUGGUUUUUAAUUUUUUUUUUUUUGGUACUGGGGAUCGAACUUGGGAUCUUGCACUUGCAAGGCAGGCAGCAGAACCACUGAACUAAAUCCCUAGCCCUUUAAAAAAAUUUUUUUUUGAUUGAUUAGUUUUUUGAGAUAAGGUUUCCUUAUGUAGUUCAGACUCACCUUGAACUCACCAUGUAGCCCAGGCUGGCCUUGGAUUUGCAGUGAUCUUCCUGCCUCAGCCUCCUGAGUACUGGAAUUAUAGGUAUGCACCACCACAUCUGGCUGGCUGAGAUCUUUAUUUUAAUGCAAAGGCCCCCCACCCCCACCCUCCUACUGGUGCUGAACCCAAGCACUCUUCCCAAGAAAUUUUCCCAACCAAUGAUACCUUCCUUGACCUUGCAGGCCAGGGUGGACUCCUUGAUUGCUUGCUCUUCCAAAAGGUAUGUCUCCCUGUAUGUUUUACAUCCACCCAUGCUCUCUGGCCUGUGUCUGCCUCCUCCAACCACUGUAAUGCCCACAAGGGUGGGAGCCAGAUCUGAUAUUAGUUACCGCUGCAUUCCGCCCCACUGGCACAUGGUUGAGAAAUAUUUGUUGAGUGAACAAACAAUGUUGUUAGCCAUCUAAUCUGAUUCCGUAGGAGGCCAUCAACUGUACUCAGGGCUGCAGUGUCUCAUUCUUUCAUUCAAUAAAUAUUUACAAAGAAAUUG
ensembl:lncRNA